rnacentral:rRNA from 1 species
CUAACACAUGCAAGUCGAACGGCAGCACAGAAGAGCUUGCUCUUUGGGUGGCGAGUGGCGGACGGGUGAGUAAUGUCUGGGAAACUGCCCGAUGGAGGGGGAUAACUACUGGAAACGGUAGCUAAUACCGCAUAACGUCGCAAGACCAAAGUGGGGGACCUUUCGGGCCUCACACCAUCGGAUGUGCCCAGAUGGGAUUAGCUAGUAGGUGGGGUAAUGGCUCACCUAGGCGACGAUCCCUAGCUGGUCUGAGAGGAUGACCAGCCACACUGGAACUGAGACACGGUCCAGACUCCUACGGGAGGCAGCAGUGGGGAAUAUUGCACAAUGGGCGCAAGCCUGAUGCAGCCAUGCCGCGUGUAUGAAGAAGGCCUUCGGGUUGUAAAGUACUUUCAGCGGGGAGGAAGGCGGUGAGGUUAAUAACCUUGCCGAUUGACGUUACCCGCAGAAGAAGCACCGGCUAACUCCGUGCCAGCAGCCGCGGUAAUACGGAGGGUGCAAGCGUUAAUCGGAAUUACUGGGCGUAAAGCGCACGCAGGCGGUCUGUUAAGUCAGAUGUGAAAUCCCCGGGCUUAACCUGGGAACUGCAUUUGAAACUGGCAGGCUUGAGUCUCGUAGAGGGGGGUAGAAUUCCAGGUGUAGCGGUGAAAUGCGUAGAGAUCUGGAGGAAUACCGGUGGCGAAGGCGGCCCCCUGGACGAAGACUGACGCUCAGG